UGCCAGCAGCCGCGGUAAUACGGAGGGUGCGAGCGUUAAUCGGAAUUACCGGGCGUAAAGCGUGCGUAGGCGGUUCGGUAAGUCAGAUGUGAAAGCCCCGGGCUUAACCUGGGAAUUGCAUUUGAAACUGCCGGGCUAGAGUGUAGUAGAGGGAGGUGGAAUUCCGCAUGUAGCGGUGAAAUGCGUAGAGAUGCGGAGGAACACCAGUGGCGAAGGCGGCCUCCUGGACUAACACUGACGCUGAGGUGCGAAAGCGUGGGGAGCAAACAGGAUUAGAUA
rnacentral:rRNA from 1 species